CUCUGUUAGCUGAGGGCACUGACCCAUAGGCCAAACAGGUGUGUUGCCAGCUCUAAGGUGGCAGGUUGUAACAGGUGACGUGGGACUGAGCAGUCUGGAAGAAGGUGGUUGAGAUGAGCUCUCCUGGAGGGAUCUGGGAAAACCUUGAAGAGGAGGAUGGAUUUGAAUUGUGACAAGAACAAGAAGAGGGAAAGACAACAGGGAUGUAAGCACAAUGAGAAAAGAGCCAGCAAGGGAAUGGCCAUCUGCAAGGAGAGAGACCUUCGAAGAACCCAACCCUGCCUGCACCUUGAUCUGGGACUUCCAGCCCCCAGGAUGAUGAUAUUGACCGUGUUCUUGAGCAACAACGAACAGAUUCUAACAGAAGUUCCUAUAACACCAGAGACAACAUGUCGAGAUGUUGUAGAAUUUUGCAAGGAACCUGGAGAAGGCAGUUGCCAUUUAGCUGAAGUGUGGAGGGGAAAUGAGCGUCCCAUACCCUUUGAUCACAUGAUGUAUGAACAUCUUCAGAAAUGGGGGCCGCGCAGGGAAGAAGUGAAGUUUUUCCUUCGGCACGAGGAUUCCCCCACCGAGAGCAUUGAGCAAGGCGGCCGUCAGACCCAAGAGCAGAGAACUCAGAGGAAUGUAAUAAAUGUUCCUGCAGAGAAACGCACAGAAAAUGGCGUUGGAAGCGCACGUGUAGAGCUCACCCUCUCCGAGCUCCAGGAUAUGGCGGCCAGGCAGCAGCAGCAAAUUGAAAAUCAGCAGCAAAUGUUGGUUGCCAAGGAGCAGCGUUUACACUUCCUAAAGCAGCAGGAACGCCGCCAGCAGCAGUCUAUUUCUGAGAACGAGAAGCUUCAGAAAUUGAAAGAACGAGUCGAGGCCCAGGAAAAUAAGCUGAAGAAAAUUCGUGCCAUGAGAGGACAAGUAGACUACAGCAAAAUUAUGAACGGCAAUCUGUCUGCUGAGAUAGAAAGGUUCAGCGCCAUGUUCCAGGAGAAGAAGCAGGAAGUGCAGACUGCGAUUUUACGAGUUGAUCAGCUCAGUCAGCAGCUGGAAGAUUUAAAGAGAGGCAAGCUGAGCGGGCUCCCGGCGUACAGCGGCAGGCUGGCGGGACCGGCGGCGGCGGAGCUGAAGAGACUGUGCCAGGAGCUCCAGAUUCGUAACCAGCUUAACCAGGAACAGACUUCAAAGCUCCAGCAGCAGAAGGAGCUCUUGAACAAACGCAACAUGGAGGUGGCCGUGAUGGACAAGCGGAUCAGUGAGCUGCGUGAGCGUCUCUAUGGGAAGAAAAUCCAGCUGAGCCGGGUGAAUGGCACGUCGUCCCCACAGUCGCCGCUGGGCACGCCUGGCAGGGUGGCUGCGGUGGGGCCUUACAUCCAGGUGCCCAGCGCAGGUAGCUACUCUGUCCCGGGGGACCCCAUAAAGCCCCAGUCUCUCACCAUUGCCUCAAGCGCUGCCCACGGAAGAUCCAAAUCCGAUGGCCACGGGAAGCCCAAAGUGAACAGCUCGUGGACAGUAUCAGACCUCGACGUCGGGCCUGACUGCGGCUCCUCAGGGCGCUCUGCAGACCCGUUUGCAAACCCCAAUGAUGGAAACUGGCCAGCACUGAAGCAAAACUCCAGCUCUUCGGCAAAGCCCACGCAGGUUGCCGGUGCAGACUGGAAGGACUCAAGCGUGGAGGGCCCCCUCAAGCAGGGGGCCGUUUCCAGCCAGCUGGCGCCCUUGUCAACUUUAGGAGCCACAGAGAAGCUGGGCAUGGAGAUGGGUAAAGUGCCACCCCCAAUCCCUGGUGUCGGCAAGCAGCCGCCUCCGAGCUAUGGGACGUACCCGAGUCCUGCGCCUGUGGGCCCAGGCUCCACGAACUCGCUGGAGAGGAGGAAGGAAGGCAGCUUGCCCAGGCCUAGCGCCGGCCUGCCUGGUCGGCAGAAACCUGGCCCGCUGCCCCCUGCAGUCACCGGCCCCCCGCCGGGCACCUCACAGCAGAUCCAGCAGAGGAUUUCUGUGCCACCGAGUCCCACGUACCCGCCGGUGGGGCUGCCUGCCUUUCCAGCUGGAGACAGCAAACCUGACCUCCCACUGACUGUGGCUAUUAGGCCCUUUCUGGCUGAUAAAGGGUCAAGGCCACAGUCCCCCAGGAAAGGACCCCAGACAGUGAAUUCAAGUUCCAUAUACUCCAUGUACCUCCAGCAAGCUACACCUCCUAAGAAUUACCAGCCAGCAGCGCACAGCACCUUAAAUAAGUCUGUGAAAGCAGUGUAUGGCAAACCUGUGCUGCCCUCGGGCUCGACGUCCCCGUCGCCGUUGCCGUUUCUCCACGGGUCAUCGGCCACAAGCACGUUGCAGUCCCAACCACCUUCAGACAGCGCUGAGAAAGAGCCAGAGCAGGACAGCCCCGCGCCGCCCGGAGACGGCAGCGCGGGCACAGGCGCCGUGGAGAGCCUGCCGCGGCCGCUCAGCCCCACCAAGCUCACCCCCAUUGUGCACUCGCCGCUGCGCUACCAGAGCGACGCCGACCUGGAGGCCCUGCGCAGGAAGCUGGCCAACGCGCCGCGGCCCCUGAAGAAGCGCAGCUCCAUCACCGAGCCUGAGGGCCCCGGCGGGCCCAACAUCCAGAAGCUGCUGUACCAGCGCUUCAACACCCUGGCGGGGGGCAUGGAGGGCACCCCUUUCUACCAGCCUAGCCCCUCGCAGGACUUCAUGGGCACGCUGGCCGACGUGGACAACGGAAACGCCACCAAUGGGAACCUGGGAGAGGCCAGCCCGGCCCAGCCCACAGCCCCGCCCCUCGCUGAGCCAGCCCCGUCUUCGGACGCCAAUGACAACGAGCUCCUUUCCCCCGAACCGGAGGGCCUCAUCUGUCCCCAGAGCACCCGCCAAACGACCGAACCUGCCGAAGAUGACAACAACAACGUGGCCACGGCCCCCCCGACGGAGCAGGUCCCUAGCCCUGGGGCCGAGGCCCCCUCGCCGGGGGAGGACCAAGCCCCCCCAGCACUGCCCCCCGCCAUGCCCCCACCAGGAGCCUCUACGCAGAGCAAACGGACCAACCUGAAGAAACCAAACUCGGAGCGGACGGGGCACGGGCUGAGGGUCCGGUUCAAUCCGCUGGCGCUGCUCCUUGAUGCUUCUCUGGAAGGGGAGUUUGACCUGGUGCAAAGGAUCAUCUAUGAGGUGGAAGACCCCAGCAAGCCCAACGACGAAGGGAUCACACCGCUGCACAACGCCGUCUGCGCCGGCCACCACCACAUCGUCCGGUUCCUGCUGGACUUCGGGGUCAACGUGAACGCCGCCGACAGCGAUGGCUGGACGCCGCUGCACUGCGCCGCCUCCUGCAAUAGCGUCCACCUCUGCAAACAGCUGGUGGAGAGCGGAGCCGCGAUCUUUGCCUCCACCAUCAGCGACAUCGAAACGGCCGCGGACAAGUGUGAGGAGAUGGAGGAAGGCUACAUGCAGUGCUCCCAGUUCCUGUACGGGGUGCAGGAGAAGCUAGGCGUGAUGAACAAAGGAGUGGUGUACGCCCUGUGGGGCUACGAGGCCCAGAACAGCGAUGAGCUGUCCUUCCACGAGGGCGACGCCAUCACCAUCCUACGGCGCAAGGACGAGAGCGAGACGGAGUGGUGGUGGGCUCGCCUCGGGGACCGGGAGGGCUACGUGCCCAGGAACCUGCUGGGGUUGUAUCCGCGGAUCAAACCCCGACAGCGCACGCUGGCCUGAACUUGCCGUUGGAGCACUGCCCGGGCUCGCCAGCCGAUGGGCCGCCAGAAAGGUAGCUCUGCCGUUUCCCCAGGAAAGCUGAAGCCGGACACGGUUGAUAAUGGUGCUCACUUUAGCAGACGGCGUCCGCGAUGUGAAGUUCCCGCAGCUUCUGGGGAAAACUUGCGACCACAGUGAGGCGUGCCCUCUGCUCGAGCUUGCCCUCCUGUCACCGGAAGUCCUGGCAACCCCACCGCCCUGCCCACCCUCGCCACGCACAUCUCUUCCUUCCCCUACCAAAGGAGCCCCUGUAUGGAAACUUCUGUCAGUGGUGGUGCUUGGUGCGUGUGUCCCGGGCAUUGCGUCAGUCACCCUCAUGCAGGCCGAUGGUGCUGGACCGGGCCACCGUGGCCCAGGCGCCAGAGCCCUUAAUACCAAGCGGCAAACAAUCAGGAGCCCCCAGAUGGCACUGUCCCUCCUCUGCUCGCAGCACGGCCUUCCCUGCAGCAGCCCACGGGCCGGGGUAGGGCAGCCGUCGGGGGUGGGG